CCUACGGGUGGCUGCAGUGGGGAAUAUUGCACAAUGGGCGCAAGCCUGAUGCAGCCAUGCCGCGUGUGUGAAGAAGGCCUUCGGGUUGUAAAGCACUUUCAGCGGGGAGGAAGGCGGUGAGGUUAAUAACCUCAUCGAUUGACGUUACCCGCAGAAGAAGCACCGGCUAACUCCGUGCCAGCAGCCGCGGUAAUACAGAGGGUGCAAGCGUUAAUCGGAAUUACUGGGCGUAAAGCGCACGCAGGCGGUCUGUCAAGUCGGAUGUGAAAUCCCCGGGCUCAACCUGGGAACUGCAUUCGAAACUGGCAGGCUAGAGUCUUGUAGAGGGGGGUAGAAUUCCAGGUGUAGCGGUGAAAUGCGUAGAGAUCUGGAGGAAUACCGGUGGCGAAGGCGGCCCCCUGGACAAAGACUGACGCUCAGGUGCGAAAGCGUGGGGAGCAAACAGGAUUAGAUACCCGAGUAGUC
rnacentral:rRNA from 1 species